UGAGAGAAAUUCAGGGUUUCUGUCAAUUGGAGGUCUUAAAUUAUAUACUGAGGACAUUUCAGACGAUGAAAAUGAAGAAUAUAAUGAAGACUCAUCGGAAUUUGACUCACUCUUGGCCUUCACAUGCUCAGAAGAGUAAAGCUUCAAAAAAAGGCAUGGUACAACUGGUUUCAUAAAUGUUUAAAUUCCAUAUGCAUGCUAUAGUUGAGAGUUGAUGAUGAAAUGAUGAUGUGAUGAUAUACUUCCCUUGUUGGGAGUUGAUGAUGAGAUGUCGAAUAUUCCGUAGUUGAUUAUGUAAAUAAAAAGAAGAAACUGUGAGUGAAGCCAGAAGAGUGGGAAAGAAACAUACUAAACAGAACAAUUUUAGAUUGCAAGAACUUCAAUCUCUCUAGAACAAGUUCUUGUGCAGCUAUAAAGUGAAGGACAAGAAAGGGAGUGGACAAAGAGAUUCAUAUGCUUAUGAGCCUAUCUCAUUUGUAUCAAGUGACAUGAUCUAUUCCAAGACUGUACCUGUUACAGUUGUUGGGGUUGAAGAGACUUAUAGGAAGGGUGUCACUAACUAUGCUAAUAUAGGUUCAUUUGAAGAACAUACUAUUGGUUUUGGUUCAAAAAUGAUGGCUAAAAUGGGGUACAUGAAGGGAGGAGGACUGGGGAAAAAUGGUCAAGGUAUGGCACAACCUAUUGAGGUUAUUCAAAGGCUUAAAUAACUUGGUUUUUGUGUAGAAUUCUCCAACAACGUAGGUGAGCCAGCUGGGAAGAUAUCUUUAAGAGUUGGUGCUAAAUCACUUGGGUUGGAUGUAGAAUUGUCCAAAAACCAAGGUGAAUUUGCUAGGAACAGAUCUUCAAGAGUUGGUGCUUUUGAAAAACAUACCAAUAGCUUUGGGUUUGAGAUAAUGGCAGAGAUGGACUUUGGUGAAGGUAAGGGAUUAUCAUAAGACAUCACCACUCCAUUGACUGCUCUUAGAUUACCAAAAUCACGAGAACUAGGUCCCAAAAGUUGAUUUAGAUGUAUAACUUUUUUUGUCUUUGUAUAUAAUUGUAUUGUGUGUUGGCUUGAACCUUAUGAUUAUGCCUUGUAAUUUAGAUUUAGUAUGGGAUGACCAUCUCUUGAAUCACAUUGUUAGCAUCUAAAUUCUAGCUCCGUUAUUUUAUUUUUUCGACAUUUCUCAUAGUAAAAGGCAAGUCAUCAAAGACUGCUAUGGCUUAAGGCAUUCUCAUGUAUCAUCUCUGAAUUCUUUAAUGCUCUGGUUACUCUCUAGUUUUCGUAUUGGCCCUGUA